UUAAGCGACUAAGCGUACACGGUGGAUGCCCUGGCAGUCAGAGGCGAUGAAGGACGUGCUAAUCUGCGAUAAGCGUCGGUAAGGUGAUAUGAACCGUUAUAACCGGCGAUUUCCGAAUGGGGAAACCCAGUGUGUUUCGACACACUAUCAUUAACUGAAUCCAUAGGUUAAUGAGGCGAACCGGGGGAACUGAAACAUCUAAGUACCCCGAGGAAAAGAAAUCAACCGAGAUUCCCCCAGUAGCGGCGAGCGAACGGGGAGCAGCCCAGAGCCUGAAUCAGUGUGUGUGUUAGUGGAAGCGUCUGGAAAGGCGCGCGAUACAGGGUGACAGCCCCGUACACAAAAAUGCACAUGCUGUGAGCUCGAUGAGUAGGGCGGGACACGUGGUAUCCUGUCUGAAUAUGGGGGGACCAUCCUCCAAGGCUAAAUACUCCUGACUGACCGAUAGUGAACCAGUACCGUGAGGGAAAGGCGAAAAGAACCCCGGCGAGGGGAGUGAAAAAGAACCUGAAACCGUGUACAUACAAGCAGUGGGAGCACAGAGCAAUCUGUGUGACUGCGUACCUUUUGUAUAAUGGGUCAGCGACUUAUAUUCUGUAGCAAGGUUAACCGAAUAGGGGAGCCGAAGGGAAACCGAGUCUUAACUGGGCGUUAAGUUGCAGGGUAUAGACCCGAAACCCGGUGAUCUAGCCAUGGGCAGGUUGAAGGUUGGGUAACACUAACUGGAGGACCGAACCGACUAAUGUUGAAAAAUUAGCGGAUGACUUGUGGCUGGGGGUGAAAGGCCAAUCAAACCGGGAGAUAGCUGGUUCUCCCCGAAAGCUAUUUAGGUAGCGCCUCGUGAAUUCAUCUCCGGGGGUAGAGCACUGUUUCGGCAAGGGGGUCAUCCCGACUUACCAACCCGAUGCAAACUGCGAAUACCGGAGAAUGUUAUCACGGGAGACACACGGCGGGUGCUAACGUCCGUCGUGAAGAGGGAAACAACCCAGACCGCCAGCUAAGGUCCCAAAGUCAUGGUUAAGUGGGAAACGAUGUGGGAAGGCCCAGACAGCCAGGAUGUUGGCUUAGAAGCAGCCAUCAUUUAAAGAAAGCGUAAUAGCUCACUGGUCGAGUCGGCCUGCGCGGAAGAUGUAACGGGGCUAAACCAUGCACCGAAGCUGCGGCAGCGACGCUGAUGCGUUGUUGGGUAGGGGAGCGUUCUGUAAGCCUGCGAAGGUGUGCUGUGAGGCAUGCUGGAGGUAUCAGAAGUGCGAAUGCUGACAUAAGUAACGAUAAAGCGGGUGAAAAGCCCGCUCGCCGGAAGACCAAGGGUUCCUGUCCAACGUUAAUCGGGGCAGGGUGAGUCGACCCCUAAGGCGAGGCCGAAAGGCGUAGUCGAUGGGAAACAGGUUAAUAUUCCUGUACUUGGUGUUACUGCGAAGGGGGGACGGAGAAGGCUAUGUUGGCCGGGCGACGGUUGUCCCGGUUUAAGCGUGUAGGCUGGUUUUCCAGGCAAAUCCGGAAAAUCAAGGCUGAGGCGUGAUGACGAGGCACUACGGUGCUGAAGCAACAAAUGCCCUGCUUCCAGGAAAAGCCUCUAAGCAUCAGGUAACAUCAAAUCGUACCCCAAACCGACACAGGUGGUCAGGUAGAGAAUACCAAGGCGCUUGAGAGAACUCGGGUGAAGGAACUAGGCAAAAUGGUGCCGUAACUUCGGGAGAAGGCACGCUGAUAUGUAGGUGAAGCGACUUGCUCGUGGAGCUGAAAUCAGUCGAAGAUACCAGCUGGCUGCAACUGUUUAUUAAAAACACAGCACUGUGCAAACACGAAAGUGGACGUAUACGGUGUGACGCCUGCCCGGUGCCGGAAGGUUAAUUGAUGGGGUCAGCGCAAGCGAAGCUCUUGAUCGAAGCCCCGGUAAACGGCGGCCGUAACUAUAACGGUCCUAAGGUAGCGAAAUUCCUUGUCGGGUAAGUUCCGACCUGCACGAAUGGCGUAAUGAUGGCCAGGCUGUCUCCACCCGAGACUCAGUGAAAUUGAACUCGCUGUGAAGAUGCAGUGUACCCGCGGCAAGACGGAAAGACCCCGUGAACCUUUACUAUAGCUUGACACUGAACAUUGAGCCUUGAUGUGUAGGAUAGGUGGGAGGCUUUGAAGUGUGGACGCCAGUCUGCAUGGAGCCGACCUUGAAAUACCACCCUUUAAUGUUUGAUGUUCUAACGUGGACCCGUAAUCCGGGUUGCGGACAGUGUCUGGUGGGUAGUUUGACUGGGGCGGUCUCCUCCUAAAGAGUAACGGAGGAGCACGAAGGUUGGCUAAUCCUGGUCGGACAUCAGGAGGUUAGUGCAAUGGCAUAAGCCAGCUUGACUGCGAGCGUGACGGCGCGAGCAGGUGCGAAAGCAGGUCAUAGUGAUCCGGUGGUUCUGAAUGGAAGGGCCAUCGCUCAACGGAUAAAAGGUACUCCGGGGAUAACAGGCUGAUACCGCCCAAGAGUUCAUAUCGACGGCGGUGUUUGGCACCUCGAUGUCGGCUCAUCACAUCCUGGGGCUGAAGUAGGUCCCAAGGGUAUGGCUGUUCGCCAUUUAAAGUGGUACGCGAGCUGGGUUUAGAACGUCGUGAGACAGUUCGGUCCCUAUCUGCCGUGGGCGCUGGAGAACUGAGGGGGGCUGCUCCUAGUACGAGAGGACCGGAGUGGACGCAUCACUGGUGUUCGGGUUGUCAUGCCAAUGGCACUGCCCGGUAGCUAAAUGCGGAAGAGAUAAGUGCUGAAAGCAUCUAAGCACGAAACUUGCCCCGAGAUGAGUUCUCCCUGACUCCUUGAGAGUCCUGAAGGAACGUUGAAGACGACGACGUUGAUAGGCCGGGUGUGUAAGCGCAGCGAUGCGUUGAGCUAACCGGUACUAAUGAACCGUGAGGCUUAACCU
rnacentral:rRNA from 1 species